GUGUCACAGGUUUGGAACAAGAAGACCACGUCUCCUCGCCGAUGCAGCCGAUUCAUCACACGUCUCGGUCAGCGACCCACCUCUACGCGACGACAUUCAAGAGGGAUCCCGACACUGCAGCAACCGUUGGCGUCUCUGCGCUGGAGCAACAGCGCAACCUCUCAACAUGGUCACAGGGGCGGGCACCGCCUGCUGUACUACGCCGUCGUCGCUGUGGUUCUCCUGUGCUGCAUAGUACUCACCUUGGCCCUGUUAACAGGUGACAAGAAAGUAGCCCUGGCUAGACCAAAGCGUCAGAGCACACCGGACGACCACCAACCCCCUAAUAUCCCUGGCCAUGCACCGACGUCCACGGACGGCUCAGGAGCGACAAAUUCCGAUACUUCGACAGCGACCACUGCCGACUCGGACUCUACAAGUGUUUAGACAAAUCCUCACAAGUUCUAGCGUUCUUUAGUGCACGCCAGCACGCCGUUGUUAGUUGAGGAAGUAUACGAGUGGCUUUCUACGCCACCCUUUAUAAAAAAAUAAGCAUAAAAUGAACAUAUUCUCUAUAAAAUUGGCGUAAAGUGUGCUCCUUGUAAAAUCGGUGUAUAUGCCUCAUAAAAUCAGCAUAAGUGUGCAAAUCGGUGUAAGUGUGCAAAGUGCCUCAUUAUGCACUUCUUUUCGUGAUAUGUUGUCUGGAAAGGAAAAUUGUCGUCCAUCUGACUGUACCACAAAGUUAAUAAAAAAACAAAAAAAAACACCGAUACGGGUCUUCAAGAAACGAAGCUUUCCAGUUCAAAAAAAAAAAAAAAAAUUCGAAACGGCAAUUAAUACACAUGAUCAACAUCUCUUCCGAAGGGGUCUUUCUCACAUCUGAGCUGGCAAAGAGGCAAACAGUUUACGGAACGAGCCGAAACAAUCGGCAACUCUAAGCACAGGGACACUGGACAUUACAAGUAAGUUCAAAUGAGUUUUUCUCCAAAUGCGAAACCUUCUGUGGAAGCGGCGUGGGUUUCCUGUGUAGCUUCCUGCUAUAGUCGUGUGGGUGACCAUUUUCCCUUUGAUGAACCUUCGUCUAACUUGCGGGAUUUCACAAAACUGAUGUACUGUCCACGCGUAUAUGAUGUGUAUUGAUGAAAAGCAUGCAAAUUUCAUUAUUUCGAUUGACCUAUUGCAACCUCCAGACUUGCAAGAAGGUUGAGAGUAGGUAGUUCGAAGAGAGAGAGAGAGAGAGUAAACUUUAAUGAACACCAGCAGUUCUGUCGGCUGGGCCUAGGCCUCCCACGAUGGGACGUCGAGGUCUUGCCUCUUCGCCGCUUCGUAGGCCUGCUGGGUCGCCCAGAGUUGGUCGUCGAGAUGGGAGCUGCGCAGGGCGGCGUGCCAUCUCGACGAGAGGGUCACGGGAUUAAGCUCUUGGUAUUGAUCUUUGCACUCCCAUAGCAUGUGGGGGAGUGUUGCCGAUUCAGUUUUACAGACCUUGCACGUCUGGCUCGGGUAGAUGUCGGGGUA